CGGGAGGCAGCAGUAGGGAAUAUUGGUCAAUGGACGCAAGUCUGAACCAGCCAUGCCGCGUGCAGGAAGACGGCCCUCUGGGUUGUAAACUGCCUUUAUAUAGGAAGAAACCCUUGGAUGCGUCCGAGGCUGACGGUACUAUAUGAAUAAGGAUCGGCUAACUUCGUGCCAGCAGCCGCGGUAAGACGAAGGAUCCAAGCGUUGUCCGGAUUUACUGGGUUUAAAGGGUGCGUAGGCGGACCUUUAAGUCAGUGGUGAAAUCCCGCAGCUCAACUGCGGAACUGCCAUUGAAACUGAAGGUCUUGAAUAUGGUUGAGGUAGAUGGAAUAUAACAUGUAGCGGUGAAAUGCUUAGAUAUGUUAUAGAACACCGAUUGCGAAGGCAGUCUGCUAAGCCAUCAUUGACGCUGAGGCACGAAAGCGUGGGGAGCAAACAGGAUUAGAUACCCUGGUAGUCCACGCCCUAAACGUUGAUUACUCGCUGUUGGCGAUACACUGUCAGCGGCUAAGCGAAAGCGUUAAGUAAUCCACCUGGGGAGUACGUCCGCAAGGAUGAAACUCAAAGGAAUUG
rnacentral:rRNA from 1 species